rnacentral:rRNA from 1 species
UGGGGAAUAUUGGACAAUGGGCGAAAGCCUGAUCCAGCGACGCCGCGUGUGUGAAGAAGGCCUGCGGGUUGUAAAGCACUUUCGAUGGGAACGAAAUGUGCCGGGUUAACACCCCGGCAAGCUGACGUUACUCAAUGAAGAAGCACCGGCUAACUCUGUGCCAGCAGCCGCGGUAAUACAGAGGGUGCGAGCGUUAAUCGGAAUUACUGGGCGUAAAGCGCACGUAGGUGGCGACGUAAGUCGGGUGUGAAAGCCCCGGGCUCAACCUGGGAAUUGCAUUCGAGACUGCAUUGCUGGAGUACGGAAGAGGAGGGCGGAAUUCCCGGUGUAGCGGUGAAAUGCGUAGAUAUCGGGAGGAACAUCAGUGGCGAAGGCGGCCCUCUGGUCCAGUACUGACACUCAAGUGCGAAAGCGUGGGGAGCAAACAGG